GGCCGUGUGGCGAAAUGGCAUCGCGUCUGACUACGAUGGGCACGCCUUUUCAGUAACAAGCCCAGAGCCAUCAGGAGAUUGUAGGUUCGACCCCUACCUCGGUCA